rnacentral:rRNA from 1 species
AGAACGAACGCUGGCGGCAUGCCUAAUACAUGCAAGUCGAACGAAGGCUUCGGCCUUAGUGGCGCACGGGUGCGUAACGCGUGGGAAUCUGCCCCUUGGUUCGGAAUAACAGUUGGAAACGACUGCUAAUACCGGAUGAUGACGAAAGUCCAAAGAUUUAUCGCCAAGGGAUGAGCCCGCGUAGGAUUAGCUAGUUGGUGAGGUAAAGGCUCACCAAGGCGACGAUCCUUAGCUGGUCUGAGAGGAUGAUCAGCCGCACUGGGACUGAGACACGGCCCAGACUCCUACGGGAGCAGCAGUAGGGAAUA